rnacentral:rRNA from 1 species
UUAAAUUGAAGAGUUUGAUCAUGGCUCAGAUUGAACGCUGGCGGCAGGCCUAACACAUGCAAGUCGAACGGUAACAGGAAKCAGCUUGCUGCUUUGCUGACGAGUGGCGG